rnacentral:lncRNA from 1 species
AGGAUACUGAGUUUCUCAAGCAGAAGAUUCUCAAGAUUGUUGAAUCUGGAACCAAUGAUUUCCUACCUGGCCUGUGACAUCAGCACAGUGGACAGUAGAGUCCACUCCAAACACUGACUGGCCAGACCAUUGAGUGCCAAAGCUGGACUUGAUGCAUUAUUAUUAUUACACUUAAUAAAAAGGGCCCUUGUAAAUAUUUUUCUGUAUUGCAAAAGCUUUGUAAACAUUUUCGGGGUUGCUGGUUUUUACAUUUCUAACAUGAGUCAAUAACCCCUAAAAGAGGAAUGUUUGGGUUUUUAUGACGGUAAUUAUAAGCCAAUUCAUCAGGGUUUUUUUUAACAAAACGUUUAGUGACUGACAGCUGGUCAUAGAUGGCACUUAUUUCAAGUGGAUAGACAAGUAACACUUCUGAUCUGAUAACCAGUGAGUUCAUCCAUUGGACUAAAGGGUUUAUAGUGGUUCUCUAGCAGACCAUAGAAUCACCUAGCCUGGGUACCAGAUGUUUGGCAUAUGACAAGGAGUGGAAUGAUGGCACAAACAGGUCUCCUACCCAGGCUAAGAAUCCCAUACUUACAUUACAAUAACAGUUGUCCCCCCUCUCUCAUGCUGAAUGCUACCGCUGCUGAGACGACAGUCAGCCACAGAAUGGACAUGAAUAAAACAAGAAAAUGCACUGUACAUGUUUUUUGUAGUUCAGUCUCAUUUUGAAUUGCAGCGUCCGUAACUGGUCUUUUCUCGUGUUGGCUUUCUAGAUAUCCAUAGAUAUCCUAGGUGUUAGGCUCAAUUUCAAUGGCUCGCUCCUUGAGUUUCAUGCCUCCUAUUAGUGAAUCAUGUUCAUACAUGUAUCUGGAAUACUGUACUGCUACCAAGAAUCUCUUUGCUUGAUUUUUUUUUUUUGAAAUCCGUCUGCUGUAACUCAAUAAAACACAACCAACUGAAGGAUGUCUCUUGGUCCCUUGUGCAGUGGUCACUACUCAGAUACUUAACCCUAAGGUCCCAGGGCUGGUUUCUACUAAGCUAACAUAUGGAAUAGUUUUUCUAGGUGGUCAUGCCGAGGAUCAUUUAGUUAUUUUAGGACAGCUGUAUGUGUUAUAAAAUACUAAUCAAAAGGAAGUAUGUUUUAAAGUGUCUGGCCUAUUUCUGGGAGAUGUAAGAAAGC